rnacentral:rRNA from 1 species
GACAGAGGUGCCAAGCGUUAGGCGGAAUCACUGGGCUUAAAGCGUGUGUAGGCGGAAUUGUAAGUACCUUGUGAAAUCCCACGGCUCAACCGUGGAACUGCUCGGUAUACUGCUUUUCUUGAGCCACUUAGGGGCUGUCGGAACAAACGGUGGAGCGGUGAAAUGCGUAGAUAUCAAUCGGAAUGCCGAAAGUGAAGACAGCCGGCUGGGGCUUUCCUGACGCUGAGGCACGAAAGCGUGGGGAGCAAACGGGG